CGGGGUUUUUCACCAUUUUUCAGGGAGGUUCCCAGAAUCGUUAGGGUUGGAAGGGGCCUCUGGAGGGGAUGCAGUGCAGCCCCUGUGCCGAGGCAGGGCCAUCCGGAGCGGUGCCCCAGGGCCGUGUCCGGCUGGGGAGCACCUCCCGGGCAGCCCCUUCAGCGCUCUGCCCCCCGCCUCUCGCUGAGGCGGAACCUGUGUUCCACUUGUGUUCCUGGCCUUAGUCCUCGUCCUGCGGCUGGGCACCAGCAAAAGGAGUCUGGCACCGUCCUCUCGACGCAUUCCUUUGAGAUAUUUAUAUCUGGUGCGGUCCCUUUUCCGCCUUCUCCAGGCCGGGUCGGUGGUACAUCAGAAUGGAAAGAAUAAAAAGGCACCACGCUGUGAAGCGCCCGGUGCCCCUGGCCUUGCAUGCCUUCCUCUGGACAGGGUUCGGCUGAGCUGCUCCACACCUUGCCAAUGGGGCUGUGUUUAACAAAUUUACAUGUCAAUGUGCUGAAGGUUGAGUAGCAAAGUCAAUAAAACAACCAUUUGUUUCUAUAGAAACUAAACACCUUAGCAAGGAUUGUACCAAGCUUUGAUUUUGGUGAUUUUUUUUUUUGCUGGAAUUUACUGCUUUUGCAGCCUGCUCUUGCUUGUUUUCAGGAAAUCAGAAAUUUGGAAAACUGACUCGGAAUUUUUUAGCAUGUGAGGAAUGAUGGUAAUCACAUGAUAGCGGUGCCAAAAAAAAUUCUAGAACCUAGUUCAGUGAGUUAGAAGUGAUUUCUGAGUCUGUAUAAUCAUAAACACUAAAAAUCUCUGUUUGUUCCCCCACUUUCCGACCUUAAGGAACUUUGUAACUUCCCGUCUUCCACUCCCCUUUCUUCCUAGGCUCUUUUCCCAGUUCAGCUGAAAGGAGCUAAUCCAAGAAUAGGCUGAUGCAGCUGCUUGCUGCCCAGAGAUUUGGGGAGUUUGUGAAGGUUUGUUUCCCAACUAUCAUUAACACGAGGAAAUGUCAUAGAAGAAAUACUCAAUUGAUGCAUUCCAGAUUUCUUAGAUGAAGUUUCUCCAUAUGUUCUGUUCUCAAGUGGCAGUGAUACUCAAAUGCCUUCAAGAAUACAAAUAAGUAAUUUGGUUUAUCCUGGGAGGGAAGUACUAGCAGGUUUCUGGAAAUCUACAAGGCAUGGAAUAGCACUCAUUCUCUGUGGUAGUGACACAGUGCAGUAGCUGUGCUUUUAAAAACUUGUAGGUCCAAGUUUACCUUUUUACUUUUUUUUUCCUGUUAGGACAGAGCAUAGAGUUUAUUUAUUGUUUAGUUCUGUGUUUGACUGUACCUAAGUUUGUUAGGUUUUUUCUGCCAUUUUUUUUCCAAAAUCAAUCUUUAUGCUUUCCCUGAAAAUACUUGUGGUGUUUAUCCCAGUGAUUCUCGUGAGCUGUGUUGGCCUCAGUUAUUUUAUCAGAAUCACUUGCAUGUUUUGAUAAGCACCUGAAAAGCCUUGUUUCUCAAUUUGAUUUUUUUAUUCCCAGACAAAAAAUAUUUCCCUUUGGCAGUCAUUUCUUUUUUCCAUUGAGCAGUAGGACGAUGGGUCACGGGGAUUCCCACAGAGCCCUUCUGAAUGCUGUCAAGAAUUUUUGGUAGGUUUUGGGAAGUUCCAGAUAAUUACAUUUGGUUUUCUGUUCAAGAUUUAGCUCUCCAAAGCGUUUGCAUUUCCAAAUGCAGUGACUUGUUCAUUGGAAUUCUUCAAGGGGAUGGGUAUAGGGAGAGAUUUCCAUUGCUCUCUCCCUUCAGCCAUUAGCACACAGCCUUUAGAAGUGAAUGGGUUGUGGAAUCCUGCUAGAUACAGGAAAGGAGUUGGGAAAGCCCUGAGGGGGUGCACAUCUGUUAGGCCUCGGCAUUCUGCUGCUGGCCGUUUCCAAGCAAUCCUUUUCUGAAGCUUUAUUUAUAUUGUGUCUAAACCCCAGUUUUAGCCAUUGCUUGUGCCUUUGCCAAUGCAAACACUCAGCAUGACCAAAAUUAAAAAAAAAAAUUAAAAUGGAUUCCACUGGAACUUGUAUUCAGAGCCAGAAUAAACCUGAGUAGUGCAAAUGUCAGCUCUUGUUCACACGAAGCGUUUACACCGCUGUCUAAAUGGCCUCUAAGCUCAGGUGAGAGGACACAGCAAGUGCUCAAGGAUGAUGUUCUUCUGACAGGAGUUGGGAAUAUGGAGGAAGUUCCAGCUCAGGGGUGUGAGGCGGCAUCUUACCGGCUGACUCUUGCAGUACCGGGAAGUGGCAAGCACAGAAUGCCUGCUUUGGCCACUUGUUUUUGGAAGAUAAUUACAGGGGUUGCAGCUUGAUGGCCCUUUGAUUAUCUGAAUUUGACUUCAAAUGGAAUUGCUUUCUGACUGCAGAACUACUCAUUCUUACAACUUGUGUUUUUUAAGAACUUCAAAAUAGACUAUUUGUCCGAAGUUCCCUUGAUUGCCCCAGUCUUGGAUGUGAGCAUCCAGUACUAAAAUGUUAUUUUAAAUUCAUGUUUGCCAAGUCAUGAAAAAAAUCCUUAAGAACCAAACCAGACUUUUUUUCUUUACCAAAUCUGUCUUUAAGACAACACUGUAUGUCUUGGCCUAAGAAAUUUGGCUGCCUGCAUUGCAUAGCUCCUCCAUGUGUACAUAGUGCUAUUUUCAGGUCUACAGGUAGCUUCCUUAUGAAGGUGCAGCUAUAAAUACACCAACACCCAACCAGCAGAACAAGUUUCUUGCUCAUAUAUUUUCUGUGCAAGAGUUUUGUCAACUUGGAAAUACCAUACAAAACUCCUGUGGGAUCACUGCUGUCAUGUCUGAAAUUCAGUUUUGAUGAGAGUCAGUGUCUCUUGAAGUUUUCACCACUUAGUUUGGCAAGGAUCUCUGGAGGUCAUCUUAUCCAGCCUCCUGCUCCACAAAUGUUCAGUUCCAGUGGAUCAGGAACUUUCACAUCAGAAAAAGCUUCUGAAUAAAAUGCACUGGGACAGAUUUGUUCCCCACUGCUUGCAUGGCGGGUUCCACAGCAGUCUGUUCGUUCUGAGGGGAGGGGAGCUGCUGAAGAUGGAGGGUGGGGGUAAGAGGACUGCAGUGGACUUUGCUCUGUAAACAGUGGCAGCAGAUGCCAGCAGGUGUACCACAGGCUGAUGGCUGCACCUCAUGGGACGUGCAGAAGUCAGGGAAGAGGCCCUGAGUAGAAGGAAAGGCUUCGGGCAGAGAAGCAGAGCUCCAGAGUGCACUUUCCGGGCUGUUAGCUCCAGAUGUCAACAGAGAUGACAUCAGGCUGGCACUGUAAGAUUGCAUUUUGCUCUGGAAGAAAUGAGGCCAGCAUUCCUAGAAAUGUCAGGCAAGAAUGCUGUGCAGAAAACUGCAGUUUCUAGAUUGUUCCCAAGGCUGAAAAGAAAUUCCUGUAAUGAGCAGCAAAGUAUAUGGCAAGGUUUCCAUCACCUUGUGUCACAGACUGAAUCAAGGUAGCUCUUUCAUAGCAAAGCUGAUGGAACUUUUCUUAGACUGGGAUUUUCAAUGUCUAAUAAUGCACACAACAUUUCUCUCUGUCCUGGGAUUCUUCAGCAACUAAAAGAAGUUGAGCUCUGCUUUGAUCUUUAUCUUUCCCCUAGCUGGAGGACUAGCUCUCCUGCUGCCUCUCCAAUGCUUGGGUCAGUUAAACUAGCAGAGACCUCUGAGACCAGAAAUUUGUGUCAAAUUUUGUCUGAGACUCAGAUAUUCAGAAGUGAAUAUGGUGAGCUUUGACACACAGCCUGGACUGAAAUACAUUGUUUAAAAUCAAGCAAUUCUGGAGGUGCCUGAUCUCCCUUCUCUUCCCUUGUCUGAUCUACUCUGCAUUUCCUUUCCUCAGCUCUGCAGUGAAGGACUCCAGUGACAGAAAUUAGGAUUCUGCAAGAAAUUUAGCCUCCAAGAAAGCUGGAGAGGGACUUUCUACAACGGCACAUAGUAAUGGCUUUACACUGGAAGAGGGCAGAUUUAGAUGAGAGAUAAGGUAGAAAUUACUCAGUGUGAAGGUGGUGAUGCACUGGAGCAGGCUGCCUGGAGCAGCUGUGGAUGUCUCAUCCCUGGAAGCAUUCAAGGUUGGAUGGGGCUUUGAGCAGCCUGGUCUAGUGGAAGGCAUCUCUGUUCAUGGCAGGGAGGUUGGAGCUGGAUGUUCUUUAAUGUCCCUUCCAACCCAAACAGGAAACCUAUGAUCUGUUUCUCCUUUCUUAUGGUUUGCUUUCUUUGUUUAGGGGUGUUGGCACAACAUGUCUGGGAUCAAAGUGAGGUCUCUGCCCAGUGUUCGGUGAGUUUGUAGAUCCACCAGUACCUGGUGGUCUGAGGUUUUGACUCUCACUUGGCAUCGCUUCUCACCAUAUUUGCAACCCCUUACUUGUAUCUUCCAGCUCCUGCAGAGACACUUCUGAGCAUCUGUUCCUUCAGAAUGGGCAUCCAGGACAUCUCUUCUUGUCCAGGCCCCACAAAGUUUACAUGAUCACUUCCUUGUGUGUAGACCAGACCUGUCCACUGAUAAAUGCAGCAGAGUGUGACAAGAGGAACUCACCAGGCAUCCUGGAGGAUGUGUGCAGGAGCUGAGGGAGGAGAGGCUGCGGGCAGCCCCGUGUGUGACUGUCCCUGUAAGGUGGCAUGGGCACAGCUGGAGUGCACAGUGUACAUGCUGGGUGUAUCUCUGAGACUUUGUGUCACCUGGGCAGGUGUUCCUGUGCAGGCAGCUGUAAAACAGAGCUGUGUUCUUUUGUAUCAGAGCAGCUUCCUUUAAGUUCCUGAACCACUCCUCCCUCCGGGGAGACAUCUGCUGAUAACAGGCUAUUGAAUGUCACUGCAGGACUGAUAAGAACUACAGCAUCCCAUUGGGAGAUGCUCCACCCACAGGGAGGAGCCAAGCAUUCCUACAUGGAUAUAAUCUGGAGAUUCUGGAACACCAGCACAGCUUCUCCACUGGAUUUCCCAGAGGAACAGCUGCCUCUUCCACUGGAUCUCCAGAGGAAGACUACACCCUUUCUACAGGAUCCCUGCUCCAGCAGAACCACACCUGACACUCCAGGAGGACUGCAGCCACAAUUCCAAUUGGACUGCUACCAACACGGUGACCAACAGGGUGUCUGUCAGGUUGUGUUCUGACUCUGCCAGUGUUGUUUUGGUUUACUGCAUUGUUUUCUCCUUUUAUUUUCUUCCCUAAUAAAGAACUGUUAUUCCUGCUCCCA